rnacentral:rRNA from 1 species
UCAGUUGUGAAAGUUUGCGGCUCAACCGUAAAAUUGCAGUUGAUACUGGGUACCUUGAGUGCAGCAUAGGUAGGCGGAAUUCGUGGUGUAGCGGUGAAAUGCUUAGAUAUCACGAAGAACUCCGAUUGCGAAGGCAGCUUACUGGACUGUAACUGACGCUGAUGCUCGAAAGUGUGGGUAUCAAACAGGAUUAGAUACCCUGGUAGUCCACACGGUAAACGAUGAAUACUCGCUGUUUGCGAUAUACGGCAAGCGGCCAAGCGAAAGCGUUAAGUAUUCCACCUGGGGAGUACGCCGGCAACGGUGAAACUCAAAGGAAUUGACGGGGGCCCGCACAAGCGGAGGAACAUGUGGUUUAAUUCGAUGAUACGCGAGGAACCUUACCCGGGCUUAAAUUGCACUCGAAUGAUCCGGAAACGGUUCAGCUAGCAAUAGCGAGUGUGAAGGUGCUGCAUGGUUGUCGUCAGCUCGUGCCGUGAGGUGUCGGCUUAAG